UGCAGUCGAGCGGCAGCGACAACAUUGAUUCUUCGGAGGAUUUGUUGGGCGGCGAGCGGCGGACGGGUGAGUAACGGCUGGGAACCUGCCCUGACGUGGGGGAUAACAGUUGGAAACGACUGCUAAUACCGCAUGAUGUCUUUGGACCAAAGAGGAGGACCUUCGGGCUUCUCGCGUCGGGAUGGGCCCAGUUGGGAUUAGCUAGUUGGUGAGGUAAUGGCUCACCAAGGCGACGAUCCCUAGCUGGUUUGAGAGGAUGAUCAGCCGCACUGGAACUGAGACACGGUCCAGACUCCUACGGGAGGCAGCAGUGGGGAAUAUUGCACAAUGGGCGCAAGCCUGUUGCAGCCAUGCCGCGUGUGUGAAGAAGGCCUUCGGGUUGUAAAGCACUUUCAGCAGUGAGGAAGGCGUAGUGGUUAAUACCCGCUGCGCUUGACGUUAGCUGCAGAAGAAGCACCGGCUAACUCCGUGCCAGCAGCCGCGGUAAUACGGAGGGUGCGAGCGUUAAUCGGAAUUACUGGGCGUAAAGCGCAUGCAGGCGGUUUGUUAAGCAAGAUGUGAAAGCCCCGGGCUCAACCUGGGAACCGCAUUUUGAACUGGCAGGCUAGAGUCUUGUAGAGGGGGGUAGAAUUUCAGGUGUAGCGGUGAAAUGCGUAGAGAUCUGAAGGAAUACCGGUGGCGAAAGCGG
rnacentral:rRNA from 1 species